CACGUAGGGCGCGAGCGUUGUCCGGAAUUAUUGGGCGUAAAGAGCUCGUAGGCGGCCUGUUGCGUCCGCUGUGAAAGUCCGGGGCUUAACCCCGGGUCGGCAGUGGAUACGGGCAGGCUAGAGGUAGGUAGGGGAGAAUGGAAUUCCCGGUGUAGCGGUGAAAUGCGCAGAUAUCGGGAGGAACACCGGUGGCGAAGGCGGCAUCCUGGACCGGCAUUGACGCUGAUGAGCGAAAGCUAGGGGAGCAAACGGG
rnacentral:rRNA from 1 species